AGUGAACGCUGGCGGUAGGCCUAACACAUGCAAGUCGAACGGCAGCACAGUAAGAGCUUGCUCUUACGGGUGGCGAGUGGCGGACGGAUGAGGAAUACAUCGGAAUCUACUUUUUCGUGGGGGAUAACGUAGGGAAACUUACGCUAAUACCGCAUACGACCUACGGGUGAAAGCAGGGGAUCUUCGGACCUUGCGCGAUUGAAUGAGCCGAUGUCGGAUUAGCUAGUUGGCGGGGUAAAGGCCCACCAAGGCGACGAUCCGUAGCUGGUCUGAGAGGAUGAUCAGCCACACUGGAACUGAGACACGGUCCAGACUCCUACGGGAGGCAGCAGUGGGGAAUAUUAGACAAUGGGCGCAAGCCUGAUCCAGCCAUACCGCGUGGGUGAAGAAGGCCUUCGGGUUGUAAAGCCCUUUUGUUGGGAAAGAAAAGCAGCAGGUUAAUACCCCGCUGUUCUGACGGUACCCAAAGAAUAAGCACCGGCUAACUUCGUG
rnacentral:rRNA from 1 species